rnacentral:lncRNA from 1 species
CAUUGACAUAAGGUCAAGAGCUUUUCUUUGAGUAUUUUAUACAGAACAAAGUUCUUUGUUUUCUUUUUCUGUAAAGCACAUCAAUAAUUCACCUUUCAUAAUGAACAGGCUCAGUAUCAUUAAAAGGGAGUGAGAGCUUAAAACACAUGGAAAGCAAGUUGAGCGCAGAAUUCUUUUAGAUUUUCAUGAUUUCCCCCCAAAUAUUUUGCAGCUUCCUUCUUAAUUCAGCAACAGUACCCCAGAGUGCAGAUCUGCUGUGAGAUGCGUGUACAGUGUUCACUGUGUCCUUUGCAUCUGCCAGUGGCCCUCACAGAGAGAGUGAAAUACAGGAGCUAAUCGGCCCCUGAUUCAUCAAGAGACAUUUUAAAGACAUGGAAUGUGGGUAACGAAUGCUGCCAUAUCAUCAGUAAGUCUAUUAAUACCUCAUUUAGCACUAUAUUUCUCACAGGAGCUACGAAGUGUUUUUUUCCUUUUAGAAACGAUGUAAGUGGGGCAGGGGAUUUAGCUCAGUGGUUCUGCUGCCUGCUUCACAAGCCCAAGGAAGCGAGUUUGAUCCCCGGUACCAAAAAAAAAAAAAAAGAUUUAGAAACAAUGUAAGUAUUAGUAGGUGAGUGGAUACAGAUGGAACAAAAUAUGAUAUUUAAAAUACUUUUUAAUGAAAGCCUUAUUAUAAAACUAGGAAAAAAUAUCAUCUAAUAUAUUUCUGGG